rnacentral:ncRNA from 2 species
CAGGGUAAUUGUUCACACGGUUCCCGCGAUGCCGAGCGCGAAGCGGGAUGAAAAGGGAAUGUGACGGGUGGACCCAGACCGGGCAUCCAAACCACAGCCGACCCCGCGACUGUAGAAUGGCGCGGCGCCAUAACUCCCGAAAACGGGAGCGCCACUGGAAACAUCCGGGAAGGCGAUAGCGCUGGAAAACCGCCAUGAGCCAGGAGACCUGCCAUGUGAACGGACGGAGA